rnacentral:tRNA from 1 species
GCAAUGGUGGUUCAGUGGUAGAAUUCUCGCCUGCCACGCGGGAGACCUGGGUCCGAUUCCCGGCCAAUGCA